GUAGGUGGCAAGCGUUGUCCGGAAUUAUUGGGCGUAAAGCGCGCGCAGGCGGUCCUUUAAGUCUGAUGUGAAAGCCCACGGCUCAACCGUGGAGGGUCAUUGGAAACUGGGGGACUUGAGUACAGAAGAGGAAAGCGGAAUUCCAAGUGUAGCGGUGAAAUGCGUAGAGAUUUGGAGGAACACCAGUGGCGAAGGCGGCUUUCUGGUCUGUAACUGACGCUGAGGCGCGAAAGCGUGGGGAGCAAACAGGAUUAGAUACCCUGGUAGUCCACGCCGUAAACGAUGAGUGCUAAGUGUUAGGGGGCUUCCCGCCCCCCUUAGUGCUGCAGCUAACGCAUUAAGCACUCCGCCUGGGGGAGUACGGCCGCAAGGCUG
rnacentral:rRNA from 1 species